GGGGUGCAGCCCAGUGGUAGAGCACUGGCCUAGCCUGUGCAAGUCCCUGGGUUCAAUCCCCAGUGCCACA
rnacentral:tRNA from 1 species